rnacentral:tRNA from 1 species
UAUAGCUCAGUGGUAGAGCACUUGCCUAGAACAUACAAAACCCUGGGUUCAAUUCCCAGUA